ensembl:lncRNA novel transcript
CAGAGUGCUACGGGGAGUUGUCUUAGUUUAGGUUUCCCCCAAGGAGACUCCCAGACAAAGACCUGAGUGCAGGUAGUUUAUUGGGAGCAGAUCCCGGGAAGCACACACAGGGGGAGGGGAAGUGAGGCAGGGAAGGGAGAAGGGCCCAUACACGAUAUGCUAACGAGCAGGGUGCCACUGCGGCUCACUCCAGUUGACCUGCAGACCGUGUAGAACAUGCCUCAUGGUUGUUCACAGCAGCGCGGGGAGGCUGGACAUUCAGCCAUCGAUUCCUACCCCCUACUGAUGGACAGAUUCCCUGAGAGCCAGAAUUUCCCUCACUUUUGAGUUGUGUCCCGGUGUGGUGCAGAAAGCCCAAGGCUGAAAAGAAGAGAGCUUCAGGCCUUGGAUGGGAGGUGUCAUGGUGCCUGGAACUGCAUCUGCAGGUGAGCAGAGGAGAUUCUGGGCAGGCCGUCACUCUCACAUCUGCUACAGGAGGGCAGCAGAGGGGACAUUGCCUUUGAUGAGGCGGGCAGGAGCCAUACUUCUGCUGGAGUUCAUAGACUGAACUGGGUGUGAACCCAGAGAAACUGGGUGGGCUGAGUGGGAUUUUGAGAGGGGCUGGAGACUUUGCAUUAUAUACUUGGAGGCAACUUACAUCCCCACUUGGGCUCACAAAGCUGGCAAGAACUGGGGAAAUGGAGAUGACUUCCCCUUCUAGUCAAAGAGAUUUCUCUAAUUGCAAGUCCAAAGUCUCUUCUUGUCUCUGAAAGAGUUUUCUGUCUGAAGUCUUUCUGGGUGAGGGAGGCUUAGCUGAACUACAUGAUAAAGUGCUGAGGGAGGGGAAAAGGGAAAGGGGAGGAAAGAAAAUCCAUGCAGGCAGGAGUUGCUGCAGAGCCUCAGGGGAGGCAUUAUCUACAAACAACUGGAUGUGAGGAAAAUGGAUGAGCUGGCUUUCAUGGGGUUCUGCAGAGUGACUCUGUAGGAUACACCUGCUGACUCACCUGGCCCAGGUAUUUUUCCCUCUUCGGCUUCCAUCUGCCUCUAGGGGAGGAAGGUGAUAGUCAAGACUGAGACAAGGUAUCAGGGUCAGUGCCCGCCAGCCAUGCUCCCUGUCUAUGGAGAAAGACCCAAGAAAAAGAUUUUGGCAUGGGAUGAAUGGGGUGACUUAGAUUGUUGUAGAAGAGCAAAUUGGAGCAGGGAAGAGAGGAGGAAGAGGAAGAAGAUGUGUUUGAGGAAUGCACAGGACAUCCAUGUAGAGAAACCUGUGGACAGUUGGCUCCAUGCAUCAGAACUUCAGGGUCCUGUUCUCUACGAGUGAAUAUCCUAAUGACCAUAAUAAAGCCAGUUCCCUUUUUGGGGACUGACAUUUGUUGAGAACUCCCCCUAUGAAUGCUGUCUUGCUGCAAAACUUCACCUCUGGAUAAAGUGGCUGUGCUCCUUCUGGAUGUCUGCAUCAGGGCUGCUGAGGCACAGCUGAGAAUGCACCACACAGCUGACUACGCUGCUGAGCAAAUCUCAUUACUAAAUGCACAUCCCUUUCAAGGAUGCCAGGCGUUAGGGCUGCAUUGCAACUUUGAUGGACACUGGGGAUUAAUGCCUGUGUGUCCUUGUUCCAUUAAAAAGUUUGAAGUUUGCUGGGUGCGGUGGCUCACACCUGUAAUCCCAGCACUUCGGGAGGCCAAGGCGGGCAGGUUACGAGGUCAGGAGAUCGAGACCAUCUUGACCAACACGGUAAAACCCUGUUUCUACUAAAAUACAAAGAAGUAGCCAGGCGUGGUGGUGGGUGGCUGUAGUCCCAGCUACUCGGGAGGCUGAGGCAGAAGAAUGGCUUGAACCUGGGAGGAGGAGGUUGCAGUUAGCCGAGAUGGAGCCACUGCACUCCAGCCUGGCAACACAGCAAGACUCUGUCUCAAAAAAAAAAAAAAAAAAAAGAAAGAAAAA